CCUACGGGUGGCAGCAGUGGGGAAUAUUGGACAAUGGGCGCAAGCCUGAUCCAGCCAUGCCGCGUGCGUGAAGAAGGCCUUAGGGUUGUAAAGCGCUUUCACUGGUGAAGAUGAUGACGGUAGCCAGAGAAGAAGCCCCGGCUAACUCCGUGCCAGCAGCCGCGGUAAUACGGAGGGGGCAAGCGUUGUUCGGAAUUACUGGGCGUAAAGGGCGCGUAGGCGGAACAUUAAGUUAGGGGUGAAAGGCCCGGGCUCAACCUGGGAACGGCCUCUAAGACUGAUGAUCUUGAGUCCGGAAGAGGAUGGCGGAAUUCCCAGUGUAGAGGUGAAAUUCGUAGAUAUUGGGAAGAACACCGGUGGCGAAGGCGGCCAUCUGGUCCGGCACUGACGCUGAGGCGCGAAAGCGUGGGGAGCAAACAGGAUUAGAUACCCUAGUAGUC
rnacentral:rRNA from 1 species